AUUAAGUAUCAAUAACGACUCACUACAAAGUUUUCUCCUUGGAUUGGGACGUUAUGUCUUCCCAUUUGCUGCUUGGCCCAUAUGUGUUCGAAUUGCAAUGAAAUAGUGGGGAGUGGGACGUGGUCAAAUAUUUUGAGUGCAAAGCAUCAAACCGUAGGAAACACAAGUUGUUGAGUGUUGGAGGGUAACGAUCAACACCUAAAAGUAGGGUUCUUUCAAAAUUUUGUACAUCUUUGGCUUGUUUGUGUAACCACGAGGUAACAAUAACUGCAUAAAUAAAUUCAUAUAUAAACAUAGUGGGAAACAAUACGACAUCAUUCUGGUGUCACUUGCAAAUCAUAAAUGUUAAAUUUAGUGAUAAUACAUAUGAAAAAUAUCAAGAUAAGCUGCCACCUUUGACCUCUAAAAACAAUGAUGAAGUAAAAUUUUGGAUUCCAGAGGCCAUGAGGUGUUGGUCAUUCACACUUUUGCUUCCUAAUCCAUUAACUUAUAUAAAGGACAAAAUUAAUAUAUUUUAAGGCCACUAUGUAUAUGUUUGCAGUAUUUAAGAUAAUAUAGGUUUCCAUGUAAUACUAUAAGGACAAAAUUAAUAUAGUUUAAGGCCACCAUGUAGAUAUUUGUAAUAUUUAAGAUUAUACAGGUUUCCAUGUAUAUGUUUGCAGUAUUUAAGAUAAUAUAGGUUUCCAUGUAAUAUUUAAGAUUCUAGGUUACCAUGUAAUACUAUAAGGACAAAAUUAAUAUAUUUUAAGGCCACCAUGUAGAUAUUUGUAAUAUUUAAGAUUAUACAGGUUUCCAUG
rnacentral:lncRNA from 1 species